AGAGUUGAUCAUGGCUCAGAACAACGCUGGCGGCGCGUCUAAGCAUGCAAGUCGAGCGGCAAGCUGCCUUCGGGCAGCCUAGAGCGGCGGACUGGUGAGUAACGCGUGGAUGACGCACCCUCGCGACGGGGAUAGCCUGUGGAAACACAGGGUAAUACCGGAUAAGCCGGGCAUUGUUGGAGGAUGUCCGGGAAAGGGGCCAUUGCCCCCGCGGGAGGAGCGGUCCGCGUCCCAUCAGCUAGUAGGCGGUGUAACGGACCACCUAGGCGAUGACGGGUACCCGGCCUGAGAGGGCGACGGGCACAUUGGGACUGAGAUACGGCCCAGACUCCUACGGGAGGCAGCAGCUAAGAAUAUUCCGCAAUGGGCGAAAGCCUGACGGAGCGACGCCGCGUGGACGAUUGAAGGCCGGAAGGUUGCAGAGUCCUUUGGCGGCGCGAGGAAGGAGGGGAGGAAUGGAAAGCCUUCCCGGUGACUGUAGCGCGAGAACAAGCACCGGCUAAUUACGUGCCAGCCGCGGC
rnacentral:rRNA from 1 species